rnacentral:rRNA from 1 species
UGGGGAAUAUUGGACAAUGGGGGCAACCCUGAUCCAGCGAUGCCGCGUGUGUGAAGAAGGCCUGCGGGUUGUAAAGCACUUUAGUUGGGGAGGAGAUUGGGGUGGUUAAGAGCUACUCUAAGAGACGUUACCCAAAGAAUAAGCACCGGCUAACUCUGUGCCAGCAGCCGCGGUAAUACAGAGGGUGCGAGCGUUAAUCGGAAUUACUGGGCGUAAAGGGCGCGUAGGCGGUUUGAUAAGUCAUAUGUGAAAUCCCUGGGCUUAACCUAGGAAUGGCGUGUGAUACUGUUAGACUUGAGUAGGGUAGAGGGAAGUGGAAUUUCCGGUGUAGCGGUGAAAUGCGUAGAUAUCGGAAGGAACACCAGUGGCGAAGGCGGCUUUCUGGACUCAUACUGACGCUGAGGCGCGAGAGCGUGGGGAGCAAACAGGAUUAGAUACCCCCGUAGUCC